CCUACGGGAGGCAGCAGUGAGGAAUAUUGGUCAAUGGACGAGAGUCUGAACCAGCCAAGUAGCGUGAAGGAUGACUGCCCUAUGGGUUGUAAACUUCUUUUAUAUGGGAAUAAAAUGUUCCACGUGUGGGAUUUUGUAUGUACCAUAUGAAUAAGGAUCGGCUAACUCCGUGCCAGCAGCCGCGGUAAUACGGAGGAUCCGGGCGUUAUCCGGAUUUAUUGGGUUUAAAGGGAGCGUAGGUGGAUUUGUAAGUCAGUUGUGAAAGGUGGCGGCUCAACCGUGAAAGUGCAGUGGGAACUGGGAGGCUGGAGUGCAGGGGAGGUGGGCGGAAUUCGUGGUGUAGCGGUGAAAUGCUUAGAUAUCACGAAGAACUCCGAUUGCGAAGGCAGUUCACUGGACUGCAACUGACACUGAGGCUCGAAGGUGGGGGUAUCAAACAGGAUUAGAUACCCUUGUAGUC
rnacentral:rRNA from 1 species